CCAGAACGUGCGUAACAGGCCCGAUGAGGGUGCCAGGCUGUGGCGACCCCCGAGCUUCAGAGGAGAGGGGCACCAGCCGGGGGCCCUGCACAGGCAGCCUCAGGUGCGAGGAGCUGGAGCCCAGGCCAGCUGGGGAGGGGUGGGGUGCCGUGGCUGGAAGUUGCUGUUCUCAGACCUGGUUCUGAGACCCUCUCCAACUGCAUGGGGGGGUCCAGGCUGGACCCCAGAUGUGACGGUGUAUGUGCUGGGAUGGGAGCCCCCUGAGAGCAGGGCUUUUGUUAAUUCACCGGCAAUCCCACAUGUCUGGCACGAGAUAGGUGCUCAGUCAGUGAAAACCACACACGGGGUCCUCCAUUGUGUCCAGGGGAGGGUGGGCCCUGCUCACAGCCAGACUCCUAGCCCUGGGCAGCCCUGCUGCCUGCCUGCUCCUUCCACUCCUACCACCUGCCCAGGUGGGACUCUGCCUGCCUUCCUGUCCCCAGUGCUCUGUAGGAGUUUGACCACAGGUAUCCUCUUCAUCAGAGAGAGGAAAGCUCACGAUCUGGGAGAACUCCAGGCCUGGCCCAGUGAAGACGUCCUUAUCUUCAGCAGACAUUGCCCAGUGCAAGGGGAGGUCAGUCUCAGGAGACAGUCUCCUGGACAGUGGCGUGGCAUCUGUCCUAAGGCCUUGCCUGCAGCACAGGGUGCCACAGAGGUCCCCUGUGACAGAGCCUCAUGGCUGGGGCAGGCGGGGGUCGCACCUGCUCCUGCAUGAAGAGGCAGAUAAAGACCCACAGCAUGGUCUCUGGGGUCCCACAUCCCAGGUAGAGAAUGACCCAGGUCGCUGGCGUCUGUGCCAUCUCUGCUCCACUGACCACUCAUGGGGGUCCUGGAGAUCCUGACACCGGUGGCCGGGGAGCAGCAGCCCAGGCACAGGCCCCAGUGCACAUGCAGAUCCCACCGUGUCUGCACAAGGCCUUGCCCCAACGAGGCCUGGGUGCCGUGUGAGGGCCGGGACGCUAACACAGCGGAGGGUACCCACGCGUGAGCUGCUCUGGGGUCCCUCCCCGUGUUUCUUCCUGUAAUGAAACUUGUACCCAAAUGGGAUAUGCAGGGUUGCACUGUGCAGUCGCUGUGUGUUUUAGGGUCUCAUACCCGUGUGCGCCAGCAGGACCACAGCUGUGACCGGCUGCUCCAGAAGAAGUGGGUGGGUUGAGACCCCACCGGCAGGGUCACUGGGGGUAGCAGGCCCUCUGUCAGCACUGACUUCUGUAUCAUGUCAGGGAUUUUUAGGGCGGCAAGCUCAGGUGGACAGGCAGUUUUAUUCUGUUUCCCAUGUCAAGUCCAGCCCCAGACUGACUUUCUGAGGUCACAGACGGAGCCUCACCCCAUCCAAGGCGGUGUCCUGGACUCCCACUGUGCUCCCCAGAGGGCAGGGUGAGUGCGUGGCAUCCUUUUGGCGGGCGUGGGUGCCUCUGUGGACCUGGCGUGAGGCUUCUCUGUUUCUGAGUCUCCUAUGGACCAUCUGUCUUCUGUGUGGCUGCUGAGGAAUCACACUGGGGUGGCCGUGCCGGUGGCUGAAUGAGAACAGGACCCCCAUGCUGCACAGCCCUGCUUAACGCGGGGGUGGCCCCAGAAGCGGGUGGGCGAGGCUGGGCAGCAGGGAUUGGCUGAAAUCAUAUGCAGAGCCCAAGAGGCAGGGGAAAGGCGGCAAUUUCAGGGUCCCUUUGUUCGCCAGGUACCUGGGGCCCAGCCCGGGCGGCAGGAGGGACUCAGCCCCUCGCCCAGGCAGGAAGGGUCCCAAGCAGAGGCCCCUCCCUCAGGCACUCCCCAGCCCACACCUGCAGCACUGGGACCAAGACUAAUAAAACACCAGCCUCACGGAA
rnacentral:lncRNA from 1 species